GGGAUUGAGACACGGCCCAGAUUCCUACGGGAGGCAGCAGUGGGGAAUUUUUCGCAAUGGGCGCAAGCCUGAUGGAGCAACGCCGCGUGAGUGAAGACGGCCUUCGGGUUGUAAAGCUCUGUCUGUCGGGACGAAGACCGGGACGGGAGUCCCGGGGAGCCGGUACCGACGAAGGAAGCCCCUGCAAACUACGUGCCAGCAGCCGCGGUAAGACGUAGGGGGCAAGCGUUGUCCGGAAUUACUGGGCGUAAAGGGCGUGUAGGCGGUGCGAUACGUAGCGGUUUUAAGCCUCCGGCUCACCCGGAGGAGGGCGGCUAAACGGUCGCACUGGAGGGCAGGAGAGGUGCGUGGAAUUCCUGGUGGAGCGGUGAAAUGCGUAGAGAUCAGGAAGAACACCAGUGGCGAAGGCGGCGCACUGGCCUGGCCCUGACGCUGAGGCGCGACAGCGUGGGGAGCAAACGGGAUUAGAUACCCCGGUAGUCCACGCCGUAAACGAUGGAUACUAGGUGUCGUGGGGGUCCACCCUGCGGUGCCGGAGCUAACGCACUAAGUAUCCCGCCUGGGGAGUACGGCCGCAAGGUUGAAACUCAAAGGAAUUGACGGGGGCCCGCACAAGCAGUGGAGCAUGUGGUUUAAUUCGACGCAACGCGCAGAACCUUACCAGGACUGGACAGGAUCGUGAGCGCCGCGAAAGCGGCGGGCCCUUCGGGGAGCGGUCUCAGGUGCUGCAUGGUUGUCGUCAGCUCGUGUCGUGAGAUGUUGGGUUAAGUCCCGCAACGAGCGCAACCCUUGUCGUGUGUUGCCAGCGGUUCGGCCGGGCACUCACACGAGACUGCCGGUGACAAACCGGAGGAAGGUGGGGAUGACGUCAAAUCCGCAUGGCCUUUAUGUCCUGGGCCACACACGUGCUACAAUGGUCCCGACAACGGGCCGCGACCGCGCGAGCGGCAGCGAAUCCUUCAAACGGGAUCUCAGUUCGGAUUGUAGGCUGCAACCCGCCUGCAUGAAGCCGGAAUUGCUAGUAAUCGCCCAUCAGCAUGGGGCGGUGAAUUCGUUCCCGGGCCUUGUACACACCGCCC
rnacentral:rRNA from 1 species